rnacentral:lncRNA from 1 species
AUGAAGACUUCUCUGCAAGCUGCCCAGCAAGCAGCGUCCUGUUGGCCUUCUGGCUUCUUGGCCGGCUCCUUCAACAUAAAUAAUGCACAUACAUACAUACAUACAUACAUACAUACAUACAUACAUAAGCAAGUUACUUUCAGGGUUGUGAGGACUUUCCCCCCCCCCCCCCAAAUUACAAACCAGAACAUGGGUGUGGAAUUGGGACAGACUGUUGGAAACAGGACUUCUGCUGCAAGUAUCCGGGCGGCACAGUUUUCACAGGUCGCCAGCACAUGCUGGAACCUCCUUGGUGGUGGUGGGGGGGGGGGGGCACGGUCUGGUCUCGCGCCCCAGCCUGCGGGGCUCCCGCGCUGGCCGGGCGCUGAGCGGGUCUCGGGGCUCCCGGCCGCCCCCCGCCGCGGGGAGCUGGGCGCCCGGAGACCCCGCCGCCCCGGGGACGGCCCGGCGGCGCGGAGAGCGGGGAGGCUGGAGCCCGCUGAGGUCAUUUCCUGUGCCUGCCCGCGAGCCGCCCGAGGAGCCGCGGCGGCCUCGGCCUUGAAGGAGGGGGCGCGGCGCCGCGCUGCAUGGGGCGCCGCGAGGCCCGGCUCGGCUUUGUGCGGCCCGCCCGCCGGCACCCCCGCCCCGCCGCGCCCCGCCCCGCCGCCCCGCCCGCCCGCGCCCCGCCCCGCGCCCCCUGCCGCCGCCGAGCCGAGGCCGGGCGGCCGCCGCCGAGCCGGCCCAGAAGGACGCGAGGUCAGCGGAGGGCGCCCGGGUCCCGGGUGGGCGGGAGGCGCGGCGCGGGGCGUGCGCGGCCCGGGGGCACCGGCGGGGCGCGGAGGACCGGCCGCCCCCGGCCGUGCGGCGACUCGGAGCAGGUGCCUCCCCACCCGGCGCUCGCGGCGCUGGCAGCGCGGCUGGGCUUGCGGACGCCCCUCGGGAGGAGCCGCCCCCUCGGGAGGAGCGGGUCUGCGGGACCGGCUGGGGCCCGCCGCCCCGGGAAGGGCCUCGGGCGCGCUGCAGGCUUGGCGCCGCGCCGCCCGGCCUCCCGCUCGCGUCCCCCCUCGGCUCUCCUCCCGGCCUCGGCCUCGUCUCAGGUAA